UGGGGGAGCUGGGAAACAUGAGGCAGAGCAGUCACCUGCUUCAGAAGAGCCCUUUGCAGAUGGAGAAACAAACGCCCGAUAUAUGAUCCCACUCUAUUGUGCGACCCGCCUGGCGUGGUGCCUGCCUGGUGUGUGAUCCACUUGGUGAGGGACCCUGCUGAAGUGUGUCUCAAGCCCUCCUCCAUACCUGUUUUGGCCUCUGCAGAAGUUCCUGAGCCACUGCAGUGGCAAAGAUGGCCCUGUUGCUUCCUGGGCUGAGCUGCAAGGAGAGUGACAGCCCUGUUACCAGCUGCACCCCGAGGUCUGUGAUGGUCACCUUCUCGUCCAGCACAGUGAUGGUCUUUUCAGCGAGGAUGGUGUCUGACAGAGGAGACAGGAUCUGGAGGGCAGAAGCGACAUGACAAGGAAAGGCUUUCUGUGGCCCAGGCAACGCCUCCAGUCGCAGGAGGAAGUGCCAGGGUGCAGGCAGCGGCAGGGCAACAUGUGAGCCAGAAUGAAUGAGAACAGGCCUUUCCCACUCACACCACCUUCUAAAUCAUAUAUAUUGCUUGAGAAAAUGUAAUGCAUUUUUUGCGUAAAGCAAGGUGGUGUCAAGGAGUGGGCAGGUACGGCUUGGCCCUCUCCCCACACCCCACACAUCAGCUCCGUUUCCCACCAUGCUCCAUCCUGGACAGGAGGAACUGACGUUUUCAUUCCACUAUUAGCUUUAUGAUUCUUCUACAGCACAGUGUGUAUUUUGUUUAAAAUUAUUUAUUUUACUUAAAUGAUUUGUUUUUUUCAAAAGCCUUCCUAUCACCAGUGCAUAACGGGUUGGGUGUACUGGUUACAUAUUGAUAGCUUUCGCUCUUGCACAUAAAAACCAAUGUGCAACUAGAAGGUGGAUCCUGCUGGUCCAUCUCAAUCACGCGUGUCACUGGAGGCCACACCGUACACUUUGGGAAACGCAGCGCAUGAUGCCUGGUGAUGAGGAAUAUCGUUGGGCAUAUUCUGAUAAACGUAGGUUCUGAAUGUCUACGCCUGAUGCCCACAACCCAGAGCCUCAUUUCUCCUCUGGACACCUGGAAUGACCUGGAAAAUGAGGCUUAUGUGGAAUUUAGACCCUGAGCUGGAAAUCCUGCUUUUGAGGAACGUCUGUGGAAUCACUUCUUCCUCCUCUCACCCUUCGCCCAAAUGAUAAACAGCUGUCUUAGGCUCCUCACAGCCCCGUAUAACUCAACCUUCUAGAAGAGAUGGGCUUCAUCCUCCAUUCGCCUGCUUUCUCGACCUCUUUCUCUUUUCAAGUUUUGGUGAUAUUUAUGAUGUAGGUCAAGACAGCAGUUUUCCCAGGACCCUUUAAGACCAGGAAUCAAAGCUCCCUACUUGUCCCCGAAUGCCACCUUCACUUUCUGGUCCGAUUGGGACAAUUUAAAUGGUGGCGAGCAUGAGAGAUGUGUCCCCAGAAGAAAGUGGACAAGUGAAUUUAUGACUCAGGAGGACACAGUGAGAAAAAAGAGAAAAGAACCAAGGCUCGCAGGAGUCGAGGCCUCACCAAAAUAAUGUUCAUGUUUAAUGUGUGGGAAGCUGGCCCACUUCCUCUUCCCUGACACCUGGUUUCAGAACGUUGCUCACUCUGAUGAAGUGAGCUGCAUGCUGUGAGCCAAGCUGUAGAGAGUUCCACCCAGCUAGAAGCUGAGAGUGACCUCUGGCCAGCACCAGCG
rnacentral:lncRNA from 1 species